rnacentral:tRNA from 1 species
GCUCCAGUGGCGCAAUCGGUCAGCGCGCAGUACUUAUAAGACAGUAAUCUGCAGAGCUAUGCCGAGGUUGUGAGUUCGAUCCUCACCUGGAGCA